AUAAACAAAUGGUGAACUUCAGUGUCACUUGUUGCUUAAGGAGUGAAAUAUGACUGCAGGUUAACUUUCUGGUAAACCAUUCAUUCACUUUUAAGUCUUCAUGUUUGUACUCAUGUGCUUACUGUAGGCUGGUAAUAGCAGGAGUCUCUCUGGGGGAGGAGAGGAGAGAAACCCUGCCUCCAAAAUGAGUAUUUCUGAGGAGAACAACUCUGAUGAACCCAUGGGCAAAAUCCAACUAGAGAGACCAGACUCACCUGUACCCAGAUGUGUGUCCAUGAAGAGUGAACCUAUAGAGAGAACCUAUAGAAUUUAGACAGGGACCAUUCUCUCCUAAAAAUGGGGAUCGAUCCAACUCCCCUGUACCUAGCUGUGUGUCCAUGAAGAGUAACCAGUCCAUUAGAGAACCUAUAGCUUUCAGAGAAGGACCUUUUCUAACUGACCAAAGGGUCCAGCAGGAGAGACCAGACUCCCCUGUACACAGUGGUAUAUCCAUGAAGAGUGAACAGUCAAAGAGAGAGCCUGUAGAAUUCCGGAGUGGAGACUUUCCUCCAAAACAAGAGUAA